rnacentral:rRNA from 1 species
GGCCGAGGGGGCUACCUGCAGUCGACGAACCUUUCGGGGUGAGUGGCGGACGGGUGAGUAACGCGUGAGGAUCUGCCCUUAGGCGGGGGACAACUUUUGGAAACGGAAGCUAAUACCCCAUAUGUCGAGAGAUGAAAGCUUAAUGUGCCUGAGGAAGAGCUCGCGUCUGAUUAGCUAGUUGGUGGGGUAAAGGCUUACCAAGGCGACGAUCAGUAGCUGUUCUGAGAGGAAGAUCAGCCACACUGGGACUGAGACACGGCCCAGACUCCUACGGGAGGCAGCAGUGGGGAAUUUUCCGCAAUGGGCGCAAGCCUGACGGAGCAACGCCGCGUGAGGGAGGAAUGUCUGUGGAUUGUAAACCUCUUUUCUCUGUGAAGAAGAUCUGACGGUAGCAGAGGAAUCAGCAUCGGCUAACUCCGUGCCAGCUGCCGCGGUAAGACGGAGGAUGCAAGCGUUAUCCGGAAUUAUUGGGCGUAAAGCGUCCGUAGGCGGUUAAAUAAGUCAGUUGUUAAAGACUGCAGCUCAACUGUGGGAGAGCAACUGAAACUGUUUGACUAGAGUAUGGUAGGGGUAGAGGGAAUUCCUAGUGUAGCGGUGAAAUGCGUAGAUAUUAGGAAGAACACCAGUGGCGAAGGCGCUCUACUGGGCCAAGACUGGCGCUGAUGGACGAAAGCUAGGGGAGCGAAAGGGAUUAGAUACCCCUGUAGUCCUAGCUGUAAACGAUGGAUACUAGGUGUUGUGCGUAUCGACCCGUGCAGUACCGCAGCAAACGCGUUAAGUAUCCCGCCUGGGGAGUACGCACGCAAGUGUGAAACUCAAAGGAAUUGACGGGGGCCCGCACAAGCGGUGGAGU